CCUACGGGUGGCUGCAGUAAGGAAUAUUGGUCAAUGGACGAAAGUCUGAACCAGCCAUCCCGCGUGCAGGAUGAAAGCCCUAUGGGUUGUAAACUGCUUUUAGCAGAGAAGAAAAGCUUUCAUUAAUGAGAGUCUGACGGUAUCUGCAGAAUAAGCACCGGCUAACUCCGUGCCAGCAGCCGCGUUAAUACGGAGGGUGCGAGCGUUACUGGGUAUUACGGGUGUGAAGGCGGGGGUAGGCGUCAUUUGUGAAAUCUUGUCGCUUAACGAUAAAAUUGCCAAUGGUACUGGUACUCUUGAAUUGGGUUGAGGUUAGCGGAAUGUGACAUGUAGCGGUGAAAUGCAUAGAUAUGUCAUGGAACACCAAUUGCGAAGGCAGCUAACUGGGCCUUGAUUGACGCUGAGGCACGAAAGCGUGGGUAGCGAACAGGAUUAGAUACCCUAGUAGUC
rnacentral:rRNA from 1 species